rnacentral:misc_RNA from 1 species
GAUGAAGAACGUAGCGAACUGCGAUAAGUAAUGUGAAUUGCAGAAUUCAGUGAAUCAUCGAGUCUUUGAACGCACAUUGCGCCCCCUGGCAUUCCGGGGGGCAUGCCUAUCCGAGCGUCAUUGCUGCCCUUCAAGCCCGGCUUGUGUGUUGGGUCGUCGUCCCCCCCGGGGGACGGGCCCGAAAGGCAGCGGCGGCACCGCGUCCGGUCCUCGAGCGUAUGGGGCUUUGUCACCCGCUCGAUUAGGGCCGGCCGGGCGCCAGCCGGCGUCUCCAACCUUCUAUUUUACCAGGUUGACCUCGGAUCAGGUAGGGAUACCCGCUGAACUUAAGCAUAUCAAUAAGCGGAGGA